rnacentral:tRNA from 1 species
GGGGGUAUAGCUCAGCGGUAGAGCACACACUUGGCAUGCACAAGGUCCUGGGUUCAAUCCCCAGUGCCUCUG